rnacentral:rRNA from 1 species
GUGAAAUUGAACUCGCUGUGAAGAUGCAGUGUACCCGCGGCAAGACGGAAAGACCCCGUGAACCUUUACUAUAGCUUGACACUGAACAUUGAGCCUUGAUGUGUAGGAUAGGUGGGAGGCUUUGAAGUGUGGACGCCAGUCUGCAUGGAGCCGGCCUUGAAAUACCACCCUUUAAUGUUUGAUGUUCUAACGUGGACCCGUAAUCCGGGUUGCGGACAGUGUCUGGUGGGUAGUUUGACUGGGGCGGUCUCCUCCUAAAGAGUAACGGAGGAGCACGAAGGUUGGCUAAUCCUGGUCGGACAUCAGGAGGUUAGUGCAAUGGCAUAAGC